UCUGCCCUUCCCUUUGUUAUUUUCAUCCUAUACUUGCUUUUGGCUAAUUCUGUUGCCACCUUUGAAACUGUGCGAUGAAUGAUUCACCCGGUAUUAGGUUCCACAUCUACUUUCCUAGCCUCUACUUUGUGAUGAUGGUUCUGAAGACAACAUGUCUCCUUUGUCAGAAGGCUUACUAUUAAUUUCCAUCAAUAGGAAGAACUAGGGGAAGAGUAAAUGGCAGGAGAAGGGGAGAAGGAACUUGUUCAUUUCUGCUUGUUUAUUUUUUCCCAUCAGAUCACCCCACUUUGGCCUUUUACCCUGGCAGCAGCUGUUAAUUACAGCUUUCAGAUCAUCGGGCCAUUCCCACUAACAGAGUCAUUGUGCCCCUUCACGACCACCAGCUGCAGAGCCCACUCAUUAUGUGUCUGCAUCUCAACAUCACAGGACCUCUUCCCAACUUCUGAGGUACCAGCACUAGCUGGUAGCUCCUCACUUCAGAGGUUAGGCCCCCAUUGUGUGAGACCCUCCCUCCAAGCUCCUGAGAUUUCAGUAGCAGCCUCCUUGGAGAUGACUCAAAACUGAGGCUAAUUAUCAGAAUAACCACAGGAGAUUUUAAAUACACAGAUGUCUGAGCCUCAUUCCUGAAGCUGGGUUCAGUAAACAAGACUGAAGCCCAUUUGAAGCCAUGAAUAAAAAACAGAAUCAGUUGCUAAACCCUGCAGCCUUGAACCUGUACCCAUUAUGGGACCUGAAUUCCUAUAUGGACACAAAGAGUAUGAAAAUUCCAAGCCCAGAACUUGAGCAAACACUGAAAUGAGGCUCUUGCCUUUCCCAGGGCUCCACAGAGAGAUGUAAAUCUGCACACUCAGUGUGAUGGGAAGCAGCUGAACUCUAAGAUGCCAUUUGUCAUUGACAUGGGAAAUAAUGUUUUCCAUUCUCAUUAUGGACCCAGGAGCAGGAAAGAAGCUGAAUGUGGGGAUGGAAAAUGUAAGUGCUCAAACCCACCACUUCUCAUUCUAAUUUUCUCCUGUUCCUUCAGGAUGAAAAGCACAAAAUCAAAAAGCACUAAAUCACAGAAAUAGUCCAUACAUUAUUUUAGCCACUAUAUGCUAAUCUAGGUCCACAAAAUAGGGUGCACUGAAACUAGGAAAGGAGAAGGCUAACCUGUCCAAGCGAAGGUCAGCCGUGAACACUUACUGCCUUUAACAAGUGACUGUGUGCUUUCAACACAGUCUAGAUGGCAGCCAAUGGCUUCUCUCACCACAGCUUGUCCUAGUCAUCUGAGUUUUACUUCUGGGAGAAAUCUACAGAGGAAGACAAAAAGUAGAGAUACUUCCUUAUCUCUGGUACCAGCACAAUUCGCUUGAACUUUUCAAUAUUCUGGCCACAUACUGAGGCACAGUAGAGUUCAACCCUAAGAAGCCCCAGGGGUCAUUCCUGGGGAGCACUAGUCUAAAGCCAGUCAUAUAAUGGCUCAAUGUGGUUAAGAAGUGCAAGC
rnacentral:lncRNA from 10 species